rnacentral:rRNA from 1 species
UGGGGAAUAUUGCACAAUGGGCGAAAGCCUGAUGCAGCGACGCCGCGUGCGGGAUGAAGGCCUUCGGGUUGUAAACCGCUUUUAAUUGGGAGCAAGCGAGAGUGAGUGUACCUUUUGAAUAAGCACCGGCUAACUACGUGCCAGCAGCCGCGGUAAUACGUAGGGUGCAAGCGUUAUCCGGAAUUAUUGGGCGUAAAGAGCUCGUAGGCGGUUUGUCACGCCUGGUGUGAAAGUCCAUCGCUUAACGGUGGAUCUGCGCCGGGUACGGGCAGGCUAGAGUGCAGUAGGGGAGAUUGGAAUUCCCGGUGUAACGGUGGAAUGUGUAGAUAUCGGGAAGAACACCAAUAGCNAAGGCAGAUCUCUGGGCUGUUACUGACGCUGAGGAGCGAAAGCAUGGGGAGCGAACAGGAUUAGAUACCCGUGGUAGUCCAUGCCGUAAACGGUGGAUGCUGGAUG